rnacentral:rRNA from 1 species
CCUCGCUUUUGUAGACCGUAAGGGAGUCUACGAAUAAGGGCUGGGCAAGACCGGUGCCAGCCGCCGCGGUAACACCGGCAGCCCAAGUGAUGGCCGAUAUUAUUGGGCCUAAAGCGUCCGUAGCUGGCCGCGCAAGUUCGUCGGGAAAUCCACUCGCUUAACGAGUGGGCGUCCGGCGAAAACUGUGCGGCUCUGGGACCGGAAGAUCCAAGGGGUACGUCCGGGGUAGGAGUGAAAUCCUGUAAUCCUGGACGGACCACCGAUGGCGAAAGCACCUUGGAAGGACGGAUCCGACAGUGAGGGACGAAAGCUAGGGUCUCGAACCGGAUUAGAUACCCGGGUAGUCCUAGCCGUAAACGAUGCUCGCUAGGUGGUGGCGCAGGCUACGAGCCUGCGCUGUGCCGUAGGGAAGCCGUGAAGCGACCCGCCUGGGAAGUACGUCUGCAAGGAUGAAACUUAAAGGAAUUGGCGGGGGAGCACUACAACCGGAGGAGCCUGCGGUUUAAUUGGACUCAACGCCGGACAUCUCACCAGCUCCGACAGCAGUAAUGACAGUCAGGAUGAUGACCUUACUCGACGCUGCUGAGAGGAGGUGCAUGGCCGCCGUCAGCUCGUACCGUGAGGCGUCCUGUUAAGUCAGGCAACGAGCGAGACCCGCACCUCUAGUUGCCAGCAGCAUCUCGCGAUGGCUGGGUACACUAGGGGGACUGCCGUCGCCAAGACGGAGGAAGGAACGGGCAACGGUAGGUCAGUAUGCCCCGAAUGAGCUGGGCGACACGCGGGCUACAAUGGUCGAGACAGUGGGAUGCGACACCGAGAGGUGAAGCUAAUCUCCUAAACUCGAUCGUAGUUCGGAUUGCGGCCUGAAACCCGCCCGCAUGAAGCUGGAUUCGGUAGUAAUCGCGUGUCAGAAGCGCGCGGUGAAUACGUCCCUGCUCCUUGCACACACCGCCCGUCAAAGCACCCGAGUGGGGUCCGGAUGAGGCCUGGUCACCAGGUCGAAUCUGUCCC